ACACAGACAUCACAACUGGUUUGGCUGCCAUUUUUGCCAGCUACUAUAAUUUCAAUCUGAAGUAUGCAGAAGAGGCUUCGUGCACUCUGGAAUUUAUCCAAAGGUGCUUCUUGGGCAUCAAUCCAGAGACUGGUGCGAAGUCUAAAAAGCAGAGAGGAAACAUCAACCAGUCCGUGUGUACACUUGUUAGGAAAAUAAUAGACUUUGAAUGGUUGUCAGUGUAGCUUGCGUACUGCGUUUAACAGCAUACAUGUAAAGAUGGAUGUUUCAUAUAUUUGUGAAUAUG